rnacentral:rRNA from 1 species
AUUGAACGCUGGCGGCAGGCCUAACACAUGCAAGUCGAACGGAGUGGCGGACGGGUGAGUAAUGCCUAGGAAUCUGCCCGGUAGUGGGGGAUAACGUCCGGAAACGGGCGCUAAUACCGCAUACUAUCAGAUGAGCCUAGGUCGGAUUAGCUAGUUGGUGGGGUAAAGGCCUACCAAGGCGACGAUCCGUAACUGGUCUGAGAGGAUGAUCAGUCAACCCGGAACUGAUACACGGUCCAGACGCCUACGGGAGACAGCAGUGGGGAAUAUUGGACAAUGGGCGAAAGCCUGAUCCAGCCAUGCCGCAUGUGUGAAGAAGGUCUGCGGAUUGUAAAGCACUGGAAGUUGGGAGGCGUUACCAGCAGAAUAAGCACCGGCUAACUUCGUGCCAGCCGCCGCGGUAAUUC